GUCUCUGGCGGGCCGGGCGGGGCAGCCGUGUGCUGGCCGGUUUCCUAGAACGCCGGUUUUUCCACCCCCGCCGCCGGGCCCGCCACCCUC
rnacentral:antisense_RNA from 1 species